CUGCCCAGUGACCAAGAGUUAAACGGCCGCGGUAUCUUAACCGUGCUAAGGUAGCGUAAUCACUUGUCUUUUAAAUGAAGACCUGUAUGAAAGGCAUUACGAGGGCCCAACUGUCUCCUACUUCAUGUCAGUGAAAUUGAUCUGUCCGUGCAGAAGCGGACAUAUUUACAUAAGACGAGAAGACCCUGUGGAGCUUAAGAUAUAAAAUUAAUCGCGCCUAGAAGCUAACAAGCCCAAGGGUCCUAAACAUCAAACAAGCAUAGCGACCAUAAUUACACCUAUCUUCGGUUGGGGCGACCAUGGGGGAUAAAAAAGCCUCCAAGAAGAAGCAGGGAGUCGACUACACAACUCCUAAGAACCAAGAGCCACACCUCUAAGUAACAGAAAAUUCUGACUAAUAAUGACCCAGGCCAAGCCUGAUUAACGAACCAAGUUACCCCAGGGAUAACAGCGCAAUCCUUUCCCAGAGCCCAUAUCGCCGAA
rnacentral:rRNA from 1 species